GGGAGAUGAGAACGUAGGGGAGGGAGAGACCACUAAAGGAGGGAGGGGCGGUGGAGAGACCACUAGGGGAGGGGUGUGAGGUGAGACCGCUAAGGGAGGGGGGUGGAGGAUAGACCACUAGGGGAGGGUGGGGGGAGAGGAGAGACCACUAAGGGGCAGGGGAGAUCUCUAAGGAAUGGAAGGGAGAGCACUAUAGGACAGGGGGACAGGGAGCUCUUUCACACCACGCGCGCACACACACACACACACACACACACAAUGCAUCCCUAUACACACAGAAACACAACAUGCUUCCCUUACACACAGAGAAACACACAAUGCAACCCUUACACAUAAAGACAAUGCAACCUUUGCACAUAUACACAGAAACACACAAUGCAUCCCUUACACACACAUGCAAACACACACUGCUUCUCUUACACACACACACAGAAACACAAUGCAUCUUACACACACUCAACGCACCCCUUACAGACACACACACUGCAUCCCUUACAUACAAAAAAACACACUUUGCAUCCCUUAUGCAUACAAACACAGAUUCACACAAUGCAUCCCUUACACAAUACAUCCCUUAUACACACACACACUGCUUCCACUACACACAAACACACUGCAUCACCUACACAAACUGGUAUCCCUAUACACUACAUUCCGUAAGCACACACAUUAGAUCCUCUACAGUAACACAUAACAAAUCCCCUACACACUCUACUCCCUGUGAGUUCAUGGGUGGAACAUGUAGGUGGACU